rnacentral:lncRNA from 1 species
UUGAAUGCAGAAUUACAAUAUCAUAUCGUUCGAAGCACGUUUUAUUCAUAUAAUCGAGGAAAGGUAAUUGGAGCAUAUUAUUGGCUUAAGGAGCAUAUCGAUGACAUAUGGUAAUUUCAAGGCAUAACAAAGACGUAAGGAGCAUUUUGGAUAUCAUGAAUGCAGAAUUACGAUGUCAUUUCGUUCGAAGCACGUUUUGUUUAUACAAUCGAGGAAAGAUAAUUGGAGCAUAUCAUUGGCAUAAGGAGCAUACAAUGACAUAUGGUAGCUUUCAAGGUAUAACAAAGUCUUAUAACAUUUCGGAAAUAUAUCAAAGAACAAAACAUGAAUAGAAGCUCAAAUGUCACAUAACGAUGCAUUCAUUUCAUUCUUAUCCAAAGCAUGCAUAGAAACAUAGCCAAAGCUUUGGAUAUCAUAUCAAACAUAUAGAGUGUGAAGUGGGAUCUCAGUCAGAAUGUGAUUCAUCCAGAAUAUCCCACAUAGCGGGACCCCACAUAGCUGGCAAUAAGCGCAUACCCUUUACCAUUUCUGGCAAAGGUCCAGAAUAUCCCACAUAGCGGGACCCCACAUAGCGGGCAAUAAGCGCAUACCCUUUACCAUUUCUGGCAAAGGUCCAGACAAUCCCACACACCAGAGUACAAGAGGGUAGUUUUAACAAUAAGUAGCAUAUAUCGGAAGCACACGCGGAACAACAAAGCGUACAUGUGCCUUUACGAGUCAAUCCGAAGUAAGCAAUAAUCUUUCACAAAUGUAUUUAGAUUUGAAAGGAAACAAAAGCAAGGGCAUACAAGGAUUUCAAGAAAUCGCAUAUAGCUCAAUUGAAAUAAGAAAGUUAGAUAAAUUCAAUGUCCAAAGAAAUGAAAUUGGAAGAGGCACAUAUCGAAAGCAAAAUGCGGAACAAUGGGAUGCAUGUGCUGAAUCAUUACGAUGCAAACACGAUCUUUAGAUGAUAGCUGCGGAUAUACAAAUAAAUAAAGGACAAAAGUAUACAGGAAUUUAAGGAAUAAUGUAAAGCUUAACUGAAGUAAGAGUUUUUGCCAAAAUCGAUUUCCAAAAGGAAGUAACAAGGAAAGCCGAAAUCGACCAAAGCUCGAUUCUAGCAGAAUUUGAUAGGAACAUUGUUUGAACUAUUUGGAUAACCAAUUAUGCUCCAAUAUAUACAAAAUAGGUGUCAUUAGAAAGCUUUGUCAAUCUAGUUUUAGGAAAAUCAAGUUUAACAAGAAAUGGAAUUUACAACAGGGAGUUACAGAUAAUUUUGUAGCGUAAGGUCUGAAAAUAUUAGCUCUGUUUUACUGAAUCCAUAGGGUCGAUGAAAGCAGAUGUUACAGUUAGCAAUUGUACUCCAAAAAUUUCAAAUCAGGUAUAUAUAGAAAGCAUUUUGAGUCUAGCUUCGAAUAAAUCAUACUUGGUAUGAAUCUGAGUUCACAGCAGAAAGUUAUAAGAAGUUAAGCAACAAGAGGUCAGAAAUUUCGGUCCCUGUUUUACAGAAUCUGUAUGGUUAAUUUAAACAGAAGUCUUAGUAGGCAUUUAAAUUCCAAAUCGUUUGAUCUUAGUAUCAAAAUAAAUAUUUUUUUGUCUACUUUCAAAUGGAACAGGUUUUGUCUAAAUCAGAGUUUAUUACAAAAUGUUAUGACCGAAACAUUGCAUAGAGGUCAGAUUACCGAAAAAUUACAGAUUCAUAGCUUUAUAUCAAAACGAAAGAAGGUCUAGUUCUCAGUUGAAAUCUUUCAAAUUUUGCAGAAUAAAAUUGGAAACAGAGAUUAAGGUUACUGUGGGAUUGGGUUAGAACACUUGCCUUAAAAUUAUUUGAAUCCCAAAUGUAGGAAAAUUGAUGAAAAAUCUCAAGCUCCUCUUCUUCUUCUUCUUCUCUUCUUCUCUCAAACUCACGUUGGCUGCAACUCUUCAGGUUUGUUUUCUUUAACCUUUCAUCUAAUUAUUUAGGUUUUGGCUAAUGCAAAACUUGCAAGGUGUCAUGCAUGCAUGAAAGGGGCUAGGUGUCAUCUUUAGAGCAAAGAUAAGUGGCAUCAACCUUAGGUUAGCUAGUGACACAUGUCCACUAUAUUUUUUUUUUCUUUUUCUUUUUAACUUAAAUCUGAAUCUUUCAUAAAUUAUAUCAAAGUUCUAUUAUUUACUCUUAGGUCCCUAGCCAUAAACUUUUAAUAUAAUAUCAUUGAAUAUAAAAUAAUUAUUAAAUAAUCCAUUUUUUUUUUGUUUACAAACAAAUCUUUUACUAAAUUUUUAAAAAUGGGGGAUGUUACAUUUAUAGGCCUCAAGAGGAUUCAAAUUUGGGCUCCAAAAUUUAAAUUCUCUUUAGGUUCCCGAUGCUGGCGGUGCCACCGCCCAGCGCUCGGGUAUUGGACGGUGCAACCGCCCAGCCCAGGAGGUGUCACCACCCAGCCAGGCGGUGCCACCGCUUGGCUCUCCGGUUCACUAGUUUGGCUUAAUUUUAGCCCAAACCAAAUCUGACUUUGGGCCCAGUUGGCCCCUAACCAGCACCGCCUGGCUCUCCGGUUCACUAGUUUGGCUUAAUUUUAGCCCAAACCAAAUCUGACUUUGGGCCCACUUGGCCCCUAACCAGGAUAUAGGAUUAUCUCUUAAUCCUAAUCCUAAUUACAAGUAAACUACAUAACAAAACACAUCCUAAGCAAGUUUUCAACCGCGAACGUUGAGUCUUGUUCCGGCGAGCUUUCCAACGAACUUUCUUCCGACGGACUCCCAUCAAGCUCCCGAUCUUGUGAUGACUUUAACGAGUAGCCGAUCCUUCUCGGUGAUCUCCAUGAACCUCCGACGAUCUCUUCGGCGAACUUCCGAAAAUUCUGAUAGGUUCCUGAUUUCUUCUCGGUUCGUUCCGGCAGCAUCUCCGACGAUUCUUCGGACUCUUAAACGUCCAUCGAUCUUGACUCCGGUAUUCUUGCUUUGUGUUUUCUGGUUAUCAUAGUUCAUCCUGCACACUUAACUCAAUAAUAUGGAUUAGAUCAAUUAACCCAUCAAUUGAUUUCAUCAUCAAAAUCCGAUAUUCAACAUUUAGGCCAUGAGUUUAGGCAUCGAGCUGUUAGGACUCUAGCUAGGAGAGUCCUAAUUGAGAGGGACAUUCUGUUAGGACUCUAGCAAGGAGAGUCCUAAUUUAGAGGGACACUCUAUUAGGACUCUAACUUGUCACGCCCCUCAAAAUAUCGACAAUAUUUAAAAUUUUAAUCACAACUAAUCCAGGAUCCAAACACACAUUUGAGGUCACUAAGAAAACAUUCAGAUCAAAAUUUCACCUCUAUAGUCUACAAAUUCAUAACCCUGUGCAGUUCAUAAACAUACCACACAUCACUCGAUAAUUUAAACAAUCUGAACUCAACUUAUCAAAAUAAUAACCGCACAUAAUUUCACAAGUGGGGAAGUCUAUGUAGACACCAAACCAACGAUUACCAUAAGUUCAUAUCAUUACAUGAAUUUAACUUAACAUUCCAAAAUCCUAAACAUGAGGGAUCCUUUAACUUACACAAAAUCCACAGGUUUAGAUUCAUCGUCAACAUUUCAUUAGAUGCAGAGUGGCUUAUACAACAAAUACAUAUAUGCUAACAAAGAUCUGCCCAAAAUCUUCUAACUUUCCACUGCCUCAGCCCAAUCUUAACAUUUAAGCAAGCGAUACGCUAUCCUGAAAUAUUUAUCAACAAACGGGGUGAGCAUAUAGAGCUCAGCAAGUGACUAACAUAUCCAUAUCAAAAUAGGACAAUUUCCAAAGAGAUAAAGUUUCACAAUACGAGGCAGAAUAUACGAAUUCGUAGACAUAAUAUCAUUAGGUGCAGAAUCACAAUUGUCCUUUCAAUCAUACAUAUUUGGUUCAUAACAUAUGGGGUAUAGAGUAAUUGAAGCAUAUCAGAAACAAAUGAAAUGUUUUGGAGCAAAACAAUAACAAAUGAAACAUAUCAGAGCUUAUCAAUGGCAUAUGAAAUGUUCCGGAGCAUAUCAAUAGCGUAUGGAACAUUUCGAACUAUAUCAACAAUGAAUGAAACAUUUCGGAGCUUAUCAAUAUCACAUACCAAACAGAAGCUCAAACGUUGUCUUUGAUGUUGCAUUCAUAUCAUUCUUAUCCAAAGCAUGUACAAAAACACAUAACCAAAGCUCUGGAUAUCAUAUCAAACAAACAGAAGGUGUAGUGGGAUCUCAAACAGAAUUGUGAUUCAUCCAUUUCUGAAUGACCACCAGACAGAAGUCUCCCACGUCUGGGAGCUCCAUCCACCCACGUCUAGAUGAAGCCAGAGGGGGCCGGCAAAGCAUCGUAGGCUCUAAGCACAUACCCUUUACCAUUUCUGGCAAAGGUCCAGACAAUCCCACAAACACCAGAGUACAAGAGGGCAGUUUUAACAAUAAGUAGCAUAUAUCGGAAGCACACGCGGAACAACAAAGCGUACAUGUGCCUUUUCGAGACAAUACGAUGCAAGGAACAAAUCUCUCACAAAUGUAUUCAGAUUUGGUAUGAAAUAAAAGCAAGAGUAUACAGGGAUUCCAAGCAAUCAUAUUUAGCUCAAUUCAAAUAAGAAGGUGAGAUGAAUUCAAUAUCCAAAGGAAUGGAACAGAAUACGCGAAAUCGACAAAAGCUCGAUUUCUGACAGAAUUCAAGUGGCACAUCGAACAAAUACUUCAGAAUAUCAAUUAUGCUCCAAUACCCAUAAGAAAACUACUGUUGAAAGAUAUAUUAAUCUGUUUUCUGAUGAAAUAAGUUUCAUACGAAUCAAGGUUUCCAACAAGGAGUUACCAUGGAUUUAGUGACCAAAGGUCAAAGACUGAAUCACUGUUUUGCAGAAUUUAGAGGGCGGAAUCAAAGGAUAGCAGAAUAGGCCUUUGGAUUCCAAAAUUUUCAACCUAUAUAUCAAAAGAAAUAUUUUCAAGUAUAGUUUCAAAUAAAAUCAGUUUGGAACAAAUCAGAAUUUCCAACAGGGAGUUAUAGGCAUUUUAGUAUCGAAAGGUCAGAAAUCUUAAUCCCUGUUUUGCAGCAUCCAUAGGCUCAUUUGAAACAGACGUUUGGGUAAGUAUUCGGUGUUCAAAAUCUUCAAAAUUUAUGUCAAAAGAAAGAUAUAAGAGUCUAAUUUCAAACAAACUAGGUUCUGCUCAAUGCUGCAUUUCAUACUAAAAAUUAUAGCCGGAACCGUAUAUAGGGGUCAGUUUACCGAAAAAUUUCAUAAUCCAUGGUUCUAUGUCCAAGGAGAGACAUAUCGGUUUCUAAAAAGAAAUCCAUCAGUUUAUUUUGAAUCAACAUAAAAAUAGAGACUAAUUUUCUAUAGGAUGGGGUUAGAACACUUGCCUUUGAGAAUUUUGACCCCAAUUGAGAAGAUUGAGUAAGAAACGUCAAAGCCCCAAUUUUUCUUCUUCUUCUUCCCUCUUUCUUUUCUCUUCUUCUUUCUUUCUUUCUCUAUUCUUCCACACCGCAGCUGCCUUCUCUGUUUCCUUAAGAACGAAGGCAGAGAGGCUUAAGAGGUGGGAUUUGUUAUUUUGUACGUUUUGCAGUUUAGUCCUUGUUUUUAUUAUAUUCACGAUUAGGUCCUCAGGGUUUACAUAUAGGUCCUCAGAUUCUUUUUUUUUUUUUUUUUUUGAACAGAUCUCCCAAAUCUUAAAAAUAAGUUACCUCUGAUUCAUAAUCUAUUUCUUUUGUCAAUUUAAAAUAGAUGCUUACAUUAUCACCAGAAAUUUAUACGAAAAUUCGAAAAUGAGGGGUGUUACACCUCCCCCCCCUUAAAAGAAAAAUUUAGUCCUCUAAAUUUAUCGUACCUCUAUCGACGAAAAGACGGGGGUACACCUUUUUCAUUUCCUCCUCUAGCUCACAAUUUGUUUCCUCUCUAGAAUGAUGUCUCCAAAUUACUUGAACCAGUGGGAUGACCCGAUUCCUUAGGAUUUUUUCUUUCUUAUCAACAAUCUGAAUAGGCUCUUCCACAUAAUAUAAAUCUCUAUCGAUCUCCAUCAGCUCAUACUCAAUGUUGUGAGAAGGGUCAUAUAUAUACUUCCUAAUCAUCGAGACAUGAAAUAUAUCAUGGACAUGGCUCAAUGCUGGUGGCAAAGCAAUACUGUAAGCGACAGAACCAACCCUCUCAAGAACCUCAAAAGGUCCAAUAAAUCUUGGGCUUAACUUUCCUUUCUUCCCAAGCCUUAUAAUGCCUUUGGAAGGGGAGACUUUUAAGAAUAUAAAAUCUCCGAUUUCAAACUCAAUAUCUCGUCUCCUAUUGUCGGCAUAACUCUUUUGACGACUCUGAGCAGUUUUUAACUAUUUCCUUAUAACUUGAAUUUUCUCGGUAGUUUCUUGUACUUUGUCCGGUGCUAACAGCUUUAUGUCACCAACUUCCUCCCAACAUAUAGGUGUUAUGCACUUUCGCCCAUAUAAAGCUUCACAAGGAGCCAUCUGAAUACUUGAAUGAUAACUAUUAUUAUAAGUGAACUCAACAAGUGAAAUAUCCUUAUCCCAUUCGCCUUUCCAAUCCAUAACAUUGGCUCUAAGCAAAUCCUCAAGUGUUUGAAUUGUUCUUUCUGACUAACCAUCAGUCUGAGGAUGAUAUACAGUACUAAACUUGACUUUAGUGCCCAUAGAUUCCAGUAAUCUUCUCCAGAAUCUAGAGAGAAAUCUGGAGUCUCUAUCAGAGAUGAUCUCCUUUGGAAUACCAUGAAGUCUUACUAUUUCAUUAACAUAUAAAUCUGCAAGUCUACAAAGCGAAUAAGUCAUAUUAAUCGGUAGGAAGUGUGCAGAUUUUGUUAACCUAUCAAUGAUAACCCAAAUAGCAUCAUGCUUUCUAGAGGUUCUAGGUAGUCCUGAAACAAAAUCCAUAGUAAUACAUUCCCAUUUCCAUUCAGGAAUAUCUAAAGGUUGCAACAACCCUCCAGGUCUUUGGUGUUCUACUUUGAUUUGCUGACAAGUCAAACAUUUUGAAACAUACAUUGCAAUUUCCUUCUUCAUGCCUUCCCACCAAUAAUAACUUUGAAGAUCUCUAUACAUCUUAGUGCUCUCAGGAUGUAUGGUGUACUUUGAUGUAUGACUUUCCUUUAGGAUUUGAUUCUUGAUAUCCGGUUCAUUUGGUACACAUACUCUCUCCCCAAAUCUCAAUAGGCCAUCCUUUGAAACUUGAAAUUGUGGCUUCAAUUCCUUUUCUACUUCAUUCCUCAAGUAGAUUAAAUGUGGAUCUCGUAAUCGUCCUUCCUUAAUUUGAUGAAUAAGAUCAGAUUGCACUUGAAUGGAGGCCAUCAAUAUCAUCGAGUCUUGCUCUUUCCUCAAAGCUUUCAAAUCAAAAUUUUCUUCUAAUAACUUCCAUUGCUUCACGACCAGACUAGCCAUAAAACUUGUAGAUUUCCUACUAAGUGCAUCAGCUACAACAUUGGCCUUGCUUGGGUGAUAACGGAUGGCACAAUCAUAAUCCUUCAGAAGUUCUAUCCAUCUUCGCUGCCUCAUGUUUCACUCUUUCUGAGUGAAAAUAUAUUUUAAACUCUUGUGAUCAGUAAAGAUUUCAAACUGUCGACCAUACAAAUAAUGUCUCCAAAUCUUUAGAGCAAAAAUAAUUGCUACCAAUUCCAAAUCAUGAGUUGGAUAAUUCAAUUCAUAACCUUUAAGUUGCCUAGAAGCAUACGCAAUUACUCUCCCUUCCUACAUCAAAACACAUCCUAGGCCCUUUCUUGAAGCAUCAGUAUAAACUACAAACUCAUCACAACCACUUGGAAUAGUGAGAAUAGGGGCACUAGUAAAUCUUCUUUUUAACACUUGAAAACUUUGCUCACAAUCAUCACCCCAUACAAAUUUCAUAUUCUUCUUAGUGAGUUUGGUGAGAGGUUGAGCAAUUCGAGAAAAUCCCUCCACAAAUCUCCUGUAAUAACCUGCCUUGCCCAAGAAGCUUCUAACUUCCGUUACAUUUGUUGGUACUUCCCAUUCAACUACAGCUUCUAUUUUUCUUGGAUCAACAUAUAUACCCUUCCCUGAAAUCACAUGGCCUAAGAAAGCAACUUCAUUCAACCAAAAUUCACAUUUGCUGAACUUUGCAUACAACUUCUUUUCUCUUAGUAUGGACAAUACCUUCCUCAAGUGUUCCUCAUGCUCCUGAUUACUCCUUGAAUACACCAAUAUGUCAUCAAUAAAUAUAAUUACACAGAUAUCCAAGAGCGGUUGAAAUAUCCUAUUCAUUAGUUCCAUAAAAGCUGCAAGGGCAUUUGUCAAACCAAAAGGCAUCACCAAGAAUUCAUAAUGACCAUAUCGAGUUCUGAAAGCUGUUUUUGAAAUAUCCUCCUUCUUGAUCUUCAACUGAUAGUAACCUGACCUCAGGUCAAUCUUAGAGAAUACUUGUGCACCCUGCAGUUGAUCAAACAAAUCAUCAAUUCUAGGUAUGGGAUAUUUGUUUUUGAUGGUCACCUGAUUCAACUGUCUAUAAUCAAUACAAAGCCUCAAGGUUCCUUCCUUCUUCUUCACUAAUAGUACUGGAGCACCCCAUGGGGAUACACUGGGUCGUGUGAAACCCUUAUCUAAUAAUUCUUGUAUUUGCUUCUUUAGUUCCUCUAGCUCGAGUGGUGCCAUUCUGUAGGGAGGCUUAGAUAUUGGGGUUGUACUGGGGACUAGAUCAAUAGCAAAUUCACCCUCUCUCUCUAGAGGUAAACCAAGCAAGUCAUCUGGGAAUACAUCAGGGAAUUCUUUGACCACUAGAAUUUCAUCUAGGUGGGUUUUCUGAUUUGAAUGCUCCUUUACACACACCAUAUAACAAAAAUAACCUUUCUGCAUAAGACGAUAAGCUUGAAGUGCUGAUAUCAAGCAAGGAGGCAAAUCAUGCCUAAUGCCAUCAAAGAAAAAUAUAGGCUGAUCUGGUAUGCAGAAAGUAAUUAUUUUUUUGUAACAAUCAAUACUAGCGUGAUGAGAAUAUAACCAAUCCAUGCCAAGUAUAAUAUCAAAACCCUGGAUCUCUAGGAGAAUCAAAUCAGCAAAGAGUUCGUGUUCUCCAAUAGAGAUCAAACAAGAUGGGAAACCAAGUUUGUUGCCAAUGAAUCUCCAACAGCAAUUGUUACAUAUAACAUAUCAUCCAGGGGUCUAGGUAGAAUAUCCAAGUGACAAGCAAAGUAUCGUGAAACAAAAGAUAAGUUGGAGCCGGGAUCAAACAAAACUUUUGCAUUUCUUUUAGAAACAUGAAGAAUACCUUCCACCACUGAUUUAGAAGCUUUAGAAUCUUGUUCAGUGAUAGCGUACACUCUAGCAUGGGCUGAGGGUCUAGGAGAUAGUGGCUCUUUCUUCUUCCUCAGAGGGCAAUCUUUUAUUUGAUGAUCCAACUUUCCACAAACAAAACAGGCUCUAGUCACCCGAAAACACUGACUUGUUUCAUGAUUUAAUCCACAUCUUGCACAUGACUGAGUCCUCCGCAAUGGUUUCCAUUUCUCAAAUCCAGAUGUCUUAAACCUCUUGUUACAAGCUUCAUAUUCAUUUUCUCUCAUGCUUUUGCUAGGAAAUUUGUCCUUUUUGUUCUUGCCAAUGAUUUCUUGAAUUUUCUCCAUUUCUUGUUCAAUUUUCAAAGCUCUUUCUACCGUAUCUGCAUAUGUUUGUAGUUUUAAACCUGACAUUCGGCUUCUUAUUGCUGGCCGUAAUCCCCUUUUAAACCUUCUUGCUUUCCUAGAUUCAUCAUCAGUCAUAUGUGUGGCAAACCUGGAGACCUCAGUGAAUUUAGAUUCAUACUUUGUAACCGUCAUACUUCCCUGGAUAAGAUUUAAGAACUCCAAUUCUUUUUGCUCUCUCAUACAAUCUGGAAAAUAUUUAUCGUUAAACUUUUGUUGGAAUAACUUCCAUGUCAUUGGCUCAUGUUUGAUUUCAGACAUCCUCUUAAUCAUUCUCCACCAGUGUUCAGCUUCUCCUUCCAGCAUAAAGGUGGCAAGAAAAACCUUUCGAUCAUCAGGGUAAUUUAAGGCAUCGAAUAUUUUCUCUAUCUGCAUCAUCCAUCGUUCUGCCACCAUUGGAUCAGACUCACCACUAAAACUGGGAGGACUAAACUUCUUAAACUGUUCAAUUCCCAAUCCCGUCUGGUUUGAUGUCCCUGUUCCAUCAUUUCUUCCUUGUAGGACAGGUUGUUGUUGUUGUUGCAUCACUUGUGCCAUAGUCUCCAAAGUCCGCAUGAUACCACUCAAUUGAUCAGCAGUAGAUGCAAAAGGAGAACCAGAUGAUCUCGUCAUCCUUGCUUCCUAAAACAUCAAAAGAACAUUUUCUUUAAUCAAUCUCUAAAUGAUAGUCAAUAAACCUAAAAAAAAAAUAAUAUUCUUAGUGUUUCUCAAAUCAUGCUCUGAUACCACCUCUGUCACGCCCUCAAAAUAUCGACAAUAUUUAAAAUUUUCAUCACAACUAAUCCAGGAUCCAAACACACAUUUGAGGUCAAUAAGAAAACAUUCAGAUCAAAAUUUCACCUCUAUAGUCUACAAAUUCAUAACCCUGUGCAGUUCAUAAACAUACCACACAACACUCGAUAAUUCAAACAAUCUGAACUCAACUCAUCAAAAUAAUAACCACACAUAAUUUCACAAGUGGGGAAGUCUAUGCAGACACGAAACCAACGAUUACCAUAAGUUCAUUUCAUUACAUGAAUUUAACUUAACAUUCCAAAAUCCUAAAAUGAGGGAUCUUUUAACUUACACAAAAUCCACAGGUUUAGAUUCAUCGUCAACAUUUCAUUAGAUGCAGAGUGGUUUAUGCAACAAAUACAUAUAUGCUAACAAAGAUCUGCCCAAAAUAUUCUAACUUUCCACUGCCUCAGCCCAAUCUUAACAUUUAAGCAAGCGAUACGCUAUUCUGAAAAAUUUAUCAACAUACGGGGUGAGCAUAUAGAGCUCAGCAAGUGACUAACAUAUCCAUAUCAAAAUAGGACAAUUUCCAAAAAGAUAAAGUUUCACAAUACGAGGCAGAAUAUACGAAUUCGUAGACAUAAUAUCAUUAGGUGCAGAAUCACAAUUGUCCUUUCAAUCAUACAUAUUUGGUUCAUAACAUAUGGGGCAGAGAGUAAUUGGAGCAUAUCAGAAACGAAUGAAACGUUUUGGAGCAAAACAAUAACAAAUGAAAUAUAUCGGAGCUUAUCAAUGGCAUAUGAAAUGUUCCGGAGCAUAUCAAUAGCGUAUGGAACAUUUCAAACCAUAUCAAUAUUGAAUGAAACAUUUCGGAGCUUAUCAAUAUCACAUACCAAACAGAAGCUCAAACGUCGUCUUUGACGUUGCAUUCAUAUCAUUCUUAUCCGAAGAAUGUACAAAAACACAUAACCAAAGCUCUGGAUAUCAUAUCAAACAUACAGAAGGUGUAGUGGGAUCUCAAACAGAAUUGUGAUUCAUCCAUUUCUGAAUGACCACCAGACAGAAGUCUCGCACGUCUGGGAGCUCCAUCCACCCACGUCUAGGUGAAGCCAGAGGGGGCCGGUAGAGCAUCGCAAGCUCUAAGCACAGACCCUUUACCAUUUUUGACAAAGGUCCAGACAAUCCCACAAACACCAGAGUACAUGAGGGCAGUUUUAACAAUAAGUAGCAUAUAUCGGAAGCACACGCGGAACAACAAAACGUACAUGUGCCUUUUCGAGACAAUACGAUGCAAGGAACAAAUC